rnacentral:rRNA from 1 species
GUGGGGAAUAUUGCACAAUGGGCGAAAGCCUGAUGCAGCAACGCCGCGUGAGGGACGACGGCCUUCGGGUUGUAAACCUCUUUUAGUAGGGAAGAAGCGAAAGUGACGGUACCUGCAGAAAAAGCACCGGCUAACUACGUGCCAGCAGCCGCGGUAAUACGUAGGGUGCAAGCGUUAUCCGGAAUUAUUGGGCGUAAAGAGCUCGUAGGCGGUCUGUCGCGUCUGCUGUGAAAACUGGUGGCUCAACCUCUAGCCUGCAGUGGGUACGGGCAGACUAGAGUGCGGUAGGGGAGAUUGGAAUUCCUGGUGUAGCGGUGGAAUGCGCAGAUAUCAGGAGGAACACCGAUGGCGAAGGAAGAUCUCUGGGCCGUAACGGACGCUGAGGAGCGAAAGCGUGGGGAGCGAACAGGAUUAGAUACCCGGGUAGUCC